rnacentral:rRNA from 1 species
CGGCGUGGUUAAGACAUGCAAGUCGAACGGAUGUAGCAAUACAUCAGUGGCGAACGGGUGAGUAAUGUAUCGCUAACGUGCCCCAGACUCUGGGAUAGCUAUUCGAAAGGGUAGGUAAUACCAGAUGAAAUGGCCUGAUCGCAUGAUCAGGCUCUCAAAGGUCCGCUGGUUUGGGAGCGGGCGAUAUCGUAUCAGCUAGUUGGUAGGGUAAUGGCCUACCAAGGCAACGACGCGUAGCCGGACUGAGAGGUUGGCCGGCCACAUUGGGACUGAGACACUGCCCAGACUCCUACGGGGGGCUGCAGUAACGAAUCUUCGGCAAUGCACGAAAGUGUGACGGAGCGACGCCGUGUGAAGGACAAAGUUCUUCGGAAUGUAAACCACUGUCAGGGGUUAGAAAGU